GGAGUUGUGGCUAAGUGGUAGAGCGCUCGCCUAGCAUGUGUGAGGCCCUGGGUUCGAUCCUCAGCACCA
rnacentral:tRNA from 1 species